UAAGCACAUUAGUAUCUUCUGAUUUUAAAUCUGUUUUUUCUUUUCCCAUUUUAGUGAUGAAAUCAGUGCUCUCUCAGAACCUUUAAACACAGAGCUCUAAUAAGGAAAGCCAAGCAAUAAAAUAUUCAGUAGAACUUUAUCUUGGAAGAAAUGAUUAAAAUGGAAUGUUGGCCAAUGCCCACCCUUUUUUAAUAAUUUCUCUUAUUCUAAGCACCAUUUUUACACAUUUGAGGUUAAUAAGCUCCACAUUAUAACUGGCAAGUAGGGUGCUUUAACUUUGGCAGAAUAAUGUUUUUUGUUUUUUUUUUUUUGCCUGAGAAAUUUUCUGAGAGAUAAAUGAUAUUACCAGGUGGGAAGGUGAGAGCAAAACAAGACCCAAAAUGCAAAAAAAGAUAGCUGCUUUCAGAGCUGAAAAAGAAAGCACACAUCCCUUUCCUGAAGCUGACUCAUUUUCCUGUUCUCUCCCAGAAACAGGAAGACUUUUUCAAGACUUUACUACUUUGUAGUUCUGGAAAUCACUUGGAUCUGUGCAAUUUUCCUCCAGGCUCUUAUCCACAUUAUAUAUAUUUUAUAAAGAUGAACAGUGCACCAAAGACCUUGCUCAGGAACAUAGUGACUGUGGUAUUGGUUCACCUCAGGCCUUGCUCAGGCAGAUAGUGACCACAGUACUGGCUCAGCCUGGUUGCUGGAGGAACUGAUGGACAGACAUCUUGUUCAACAGCUGAGGGAAAAUUGAGUAUGUGCCAGAAAACAUGACUAUGGGUCGACCAUCUUACCCUGUAAGUAGCAAGCAGCUCAGGAGCUCCUGCAAGCUCUUCUGCACAACAGCCAGCUGCACUAUAGGAUCUCCCCUGGAGAAGGGAUGCCUCUCAAGGUUACACUUGCACAGGGAUCCCUCACACAUUGACAUCAAGACUCCUUACCAAUACAGAUCC
rnacentral:lncRNA from 1 species